UCUUCACCCAGUCAGCAGCACCUAUUCUCUAGUUCCUUGCCUAUCUGCUGUCCUUGAAAAACCUUAAGCUCGACACCUUCAGAAAGAACCCCCUCACCUUCACAAGAGCAGCAGUUACAAGUUGAUUUCUGUCUAGAAGACCUGGGACAGGAGGACUCCUUCAGGAGACAGGUCCCCUGUCCUCGCCCUCACUCUGUGAGGAGAUGAGGAGAUCCACCUAUGACCUCAGGUCCUCAGACCAACCAGCCCAAGGAACAUCUCACCAAUUUCAAAUUGGGUAAGCGGUCUUUUCAAUCUCUUCUCCAGCCUCUCUUGCUAUGCUUCAAUCUCCCUGUCCUUCCAAUUCCAGUUCCUUUUCCUCUCUAGUAGAGACAAAGGAGAUACAUUUUAUCUGUGGACCCAAAACUCCUGCGGCGGUCACGGACUCAGGAAGACAGUCUUCCAUUGGUGUUUAAUUACUGCGGGGAUGCCUGCCUGAUUAUUCACCCACAUUUCAUUGGUGUCUGAUCACCGCAGAGGUGCCUGCCUUGGUCAUUCACCCACAUUCUCUUGGUGGCAAGUCAAAUGUGGGGACACUUGCUUUGGCUGCUCACCCACAUUGCAGCCCAGGGCUGCUCACCACCCCCUUCUCCGUGUCUCUACCUUUCUCUUUAAACUUACCUUCUUCACUGUGGGCAAACUUCCACCCUCCAUUCCCCCUUCUUCUCCCUUAGCCUGUGUUCUCAAGAACUUAAAACCUCUUCAACUCACACCUGACCUAAAACCUAACCACCUUAUUUUCUUCUGCAAUACUGUUGGCCCCAAUACAAACUCAACAGUAAUUCCAAGCAGCCAGAGAGUGGAACUUUCAAUUUCUCCAUCCUACAAGAUCUAGAUAAUUUUUGUCAAAAAAUGGGCAAAUGAUCUGGGAUGCCUGAUGUCCAGGCAUUCUUUUACACAUUGGUCCCUCCCUAGUCUCUGCUCCCAAUGUGGCUCAUCCCAAAUCUUUCUUCUUUCUCUCCUGUCUGUUCCUUCAGUCUCCACCACAGGCUCUGAGUACUUCGAAUCCCCCUUUUCUAUGGACCCAUCUGACCUCUCCCCUCCUUCUUAGGCUGCUCCUUGCUAGGGUGAACCAGGUCCCAAUUCUUCCUCAGCUUCUGCUCCCCCACCCUAUGAUCCUUCUGUCACCUCCCUUCUUCACACCUGGUCUGACUUACAGUUUUGUUCCAUGACUAGCCCUCCCCCACCUGCCCCAAAAUUUCCUCUUAGAAAAGUGGAUGGAGUUAAAGGCAUAGUCAAGGUUAAUGCUACUUUUUCUUUAUCCUACCUCUCCCAAAUCAGUUAGCGUUUAGGCUCUUUUUCAUCAAAUAUAAAAAACCAGCCCAGUUCAUGGCCUGUUUGGCAACAACCCUUAGACACUUUAAUACCCUAGAUCCAGAAGGGCUGGAAGGCCGUCUUAUUCUCAAUAUGCAUUUUACUACCCAAUCCGCUCCUGACAUUUAAAAAAAGCUCCAAAAAUUAGAUUCCAGCCCUCAAACCCCACAACAGGACUUAAUUAACCUCGUCUUCAAGGUAUACAAUAAUAAAGAAGAGGCAGCCAAGUGGCAACCUAUUUCUGAGUUGCAAUUACUUGCCUCCUCUAUGAGAAAAACCCCAGCCACAUCUCCAGCACAAAAGAACUUCAAAACACCUAAACUGCAGCAGCCAGGCAUUCCUCCAGGACCUCCUCCCCCAGGAUCUUGCUUCAAGUGCUGGAAAUCUGGCCACUGGGCCAAGGAAUGCCCCCAGCCCAGGAUUCCUCCUAAGCUGUGUCCCUUCUGUGGAGGACCCCACUGGAAAUUGGACUGUCCAACUCGCCCAGCAGCCACUCCCAGAGCCUGUAGAACUCUGGCCCAAGACUCUCUGACUGACUCCUUCCCAGAACUUCUCGGCUUAGUGGCUGAAAACUGACGCUGCCCGAUUGCCUCAGAAGCCUCCUGAACCAUCACAGACACUUUGAGUAACUCUUACAGUGUGGGGUAAGUCCUCCCCCUUCUUAAUCAAUACGGAGGCUACCCACUCCACAUUACCUUUUUUUCAAUGGCCUGUUUCCCUUGCCUCCAUAACUGUUGUGGGUACUGACAACCAGGCUUCUAAACCCCUUAAAACUCCCCAACUCUGGUGCCAACUUGGACAACAUUCUUUUAUGCACUCCUUUUUAGUUAUCCCCACCUGCCCAGCUCCCUUAUUAGGUCAAGACAUUUUAACUACAUUAUCUGCUUCCCUGACUAUUCCUAGGCUACAGCCACACCUCACUGCCACUGCUUUAAUACUUUUAGAGGCCCUCAAAAUCACAAACUAUGCUCCACUUACUUUCUACAUUCCCAUAACUUUCAAAAUCUAUUUUCCUCCUCACACUUGAUGCAUAUACUUUCUGUCCCUCCUUCAGCUGUACUCACUCUUUGUUGAGUCUCCCACAAUUACCAUUGUUCCUGGCCCUGACUUCAAUCUUGCCUCCCACAUUAUUACUGGUACCACACCUGACCCCCAUGACUGUAUCUCUCUGAUCCACCUGACAUUCACUCAGUUUCCCUAUAUUUCCUUCUUUCCUGUUCCUCACCCUGAUCACAUUUGGUUUAUUGAUGGCAGUUCCACCAGGCCUAAUUGUCACUCACCAGCAAAGGCAGGCUAUGCUAUAGUAUCUUCCACAUCUAUCCUUAAUGGUACCACUCUGCCCCACUUCACUACCUCUCAGCAAGCCGAACUCAUUGGUGUAACUCAAGCCCUCACUCCUGCAAAGGGACUAUAUGUCAACAUUCCUACUGACUCUAAAUAUGCCUUCCAUAUCCUGCACCUUCAUGCUGUUAUAUGGGCAGAAAAACAUUUCCUCACUGCGCAAGUGUCCUCCAUCAUUAACGCCUCCUUAAUAAAAACUCUUCUUAAAGCCGCUUUACUUCCAAAAAAGCUGGAGUCAUUCAUUGCAAAGGCCAUCAAGGGGCCUCAGACUCCAUUGCUCAAGGCAACAAUUAUGCUGAUAAGACAGCUAAAAAGCAGCCAGUAUUCCUACUUCUGUCCCUCAUGGCCAGUUUAUCUCCUUCUCAUCUUUUCACUUUACAUUUACAGUCUUGCCUUAUAAAACGUCUCUUCUUCCUCUGGCUCCUCCACCUACAGGUGUCUACCUGCUAAUUGGACAGGCACAUGCACACUAGUUUUACUUACUCCCAAAAUUCAAUUUGCAAGUAGGACCAAACAGCUUCCCAUUCCCCUCAUGACACCAACACUUCACCACUAUUUUAUUUUAUUUUUCUUAUUAAUAUAAGAAGACAGGAAUAGGCCUCAACUUACUCACUGCUGAAAAAGGAGGACUCUGUAUAUUUUUAAAUGAAGAGUGGUGUUUUUAUCUAAAUCAAUCUGGCCUAGUAUAUGAUGACAUAAAAAAAAAGACCCUCAAGAAUAGACCCCAAAAACUUGCCAACCAAGCAAAUAAUCAUGCUGAACCCCUUUGGGCACUCUCUAAUUAGAUGCCCUGGGUCCUCCCAAUUCUUAGUCCUUUAACACCUGUUUUUCUCCUUCUCUUAUUCAGACCUUGUGUCUUCCAUUUAGUUUCUCAAUUCAUACAAAACCACAUCCAGGCCAUCACCAAUCAUUCUAUAUGACAAAUGCUUCUUCUGACAUCCCCACAAUAUUGCCCCUUACCACAAAAUCUUCCUUCCCUUCAGCUUAACCUCUCCCACUCGAGGUUUCCAUGCCACCCCAAUCCUGCUCGAAGCAGCCCUGAAAAACAUCACCCAUUAUCUCUCCAUACCACCCCCCAAAAUUUUUGCCACCCCAACACUUCGCCACUGUCUUGUUUUGUUUUUCUUAUUAAUACAAGAAGACAGUAAUGUCAGGCCUCUGAGCCUAAGCCUGCAGGUACACAUCCAGGUGGCCUGAAGCAACUGAAAAAUCGCAAAAGAAGUGAAAAUCAGUUCCUGCCUUAACUGAUGACAUUACCUUGUGAAAUUCCUUCUCCUGGCUCAGAAGCUCCCCCACUGAGCACCCCUUGUGACCCCUGCCCCUGCCCACAAGAGAACAACCCCCUUUGACUGUAAUUUUCCACUACCUCCCCAAAUCCUAUAAAACUGCCCUACCCUUACCUUCCUCUGCUGACUCUCUUUUCAGACUCAGCCUGCCUGCACCCAGGUGAUUAAAAAGCUUUAUUGCUUACACAAAGCCUGUUUGGUGGUCUCUUCACGUGGACACACGUGACACCAAUGAGUUACAGAAG
rnacentral:lncRNA from 1 species